GUGCCAGCAGCCGCGGUAAUACAGAGGUCUCAAGCGUUGUUCGGAAUCACUGGGCGUAAAGGGUGCGUAGGCCGCACGGUAAGUCAGAGGUGAAAUCCCGGAGCUCAACUUCGGAAUUGCCUCCGAUACUGCCGUGCUUGAGGACUGGAGAGGAGUCUGGAAUUCACAGUGGAGCAGUGAAAUGCGUAGAUAUUGUGAGGAACACUAGUGGCGAAGGCGAGACUCUGGACAGUUCCUGACGCUGAGGCACGAAGGCCAGGGGAGCAAACGGGAUUAGAUACCCCCGUAGUCC
rnacentral:rRNA from 1 species